GUAGGUGGCAAGCGUUGUCCGGAAUUAUUGGGCGUAAAGCGCGCGCAGGCGGUUCUUUAAGUCUGAUGUGAAAGCCCACGGGCUCAACCGUGAAGGGUCAUUGGAAACUGGAGAACUUGAGUACAGAAGAGGAAAGCGGAAUUCCACGUGUAGCGGUGAAAUGCGUAGAGAUGUGGAGGAACACCAGUGGCGAAGGCGGCUUUCUGGUCUGUAACUGACGCUGAGGCGCGAAAGCGUGGGGAGCAAACAGGAUUAGAUACCCUUGUAGUCCACGCCGUAAACGAUGAGUGCUAAGUGUUAGGGGGUUUCCGCCCCUUAGUGCUGCAGCUAACGCAUUAAGCACUCCGCCUGGGGAGUACGGCCGCAAGGCUG
rnacentral:rRNA from 1 species